rnacentral:lncRNA from 1 species
AUGCCUAGAGAAAGGCUGAAGGGGAUGCUAAAGGAGAUAAUGCCAAGUUAAAGGACUAACCACAGAGAAGAUCUGCAAGGUUGUCUGCUAACCCUGCUCCUCCAAAGCCAGAGCCCAAGCUUCAAAAGGGCCCUGCAAAGGAGGGAGAGAAGGUACCCAAAGGGAAAAAGGAAAAAGCUGAUGCUGGCAAGGAGGUGAAUAACCCUGUAGAAAAUGGGAAAUGCCAAAUCAGACCAGGCACAGAAAGCUGAAGGUGCUGCAGAUGCCGAG